CUCCAGCGCUGCCCCAGCCGUCCGGCUCCUUCUGCUCCAAAUUCACCUUCCAACACCGCCAUGUUCGAGAACUGAAGCGUUUACUUAUAAAUUCAUUUUCCAGGACUUCAGCAGAUGUAGCAAUGGUUUAACUCUCGUGGUUCUCACGGUUUUCCUCUUAGCCUUACUGCUGGUAUCGCCUUCUUUGGAGCCUGGUGACUGUACACAAAUACAGCACCAAAGCCGCAGACAGCGCGGCUCUGCAUCUGGGAGAGGGUGCUGGCAGCGCGGCUCCCUCUGCGCAGUCAGGUUUCGCAAGUCAGAUUUCCCGUUUGACUGUGGAGCAGUUUCGAAAACAGAUUUUUCGAGGAGUGGAAACUUCGAGCUUGGAGCCAUUCGACAGCCAAGGAACCACCAUCUAUUCUAUGGAGCAAAUACCAGGUUCACAGUCCUCUGACCCCAAGUUCUGCCAUCAUCCCAAAGGAUUUCAACGUCCAUAUGAAGAGUGAUAUAACCAUGACAACCUAUUGCAUUGUAUUAGCCGCCCAAAAACUCACAUUCUCCAUAAAAACUUCCACCAAAAGACCACUUGAACUGAUAAAUUCUUUAAGGCUGCAGGAUACAAAAUCAAUAUGCAAACACCAGCAGCACUUUUUUACACCAAUAACAAACUUACUGAGAGAGAAAUCACAAAAACCCCAUUCACAAUAACUAUAAAAGAAAAUGUAUUUAACCAAGGGAAGGACUUCUGCAAUGAAAAAUUUACAAAACAUUGAUGACAGAAACUGGCAUCAAAAAAUGGAAAAGCUCUCCCAGGUUUAGAUUAGAAGAAUUAGUAUUAGUAUAGUAUUAUUAGUAUUAGUACUAUUAGUAUUAGUAUAGCAAUCUUCUAUAGAUUAGAAUUAAUAGUUAAAAUGUCCGUAACUACCAGAACAAUUUAUAGAUUUAAUCCAAUUCCUCUUAAAAUGUCAAUCACAUUCUUCACAGAACUAGCAAAAGCUAUCAUAAAACUCACAUGGAGGGGCCGGGGGCUUAGCUCAGUGGUUCCACUGCCUGCCUCGCAAGCACAAGGACCCGAGUUCAAUACCCAGCCCCAAAAAUAAAUAAAUAAAUAAUUUAAAAAAUUAAUAUAGGGGCUAGGGAUGUAGCUCAGUGGUUCUGCGCCUGCCUUGCAUGAGCAAGGUCCUGAGUUCGAUCCCUGAUACAAAAAAAAAAAAAAUCUCACAUGAAAGCCCAAAAGAUCCCAAAUAAGGACCAAGAAUAUAGCUCAGUAGUAGAGCACUUGCCUAGAAUAUACAAACCCAUAGCUUCAAAAUCCUGAGCAAUGCAAAACCCUGAAUGUCCAAAGCAAUCCUGAACAAAAAGAAUAAAGCUGGAGGCAUGAUAAUAUCAGAUUUCAGGACAACUAUAGAGCUGUAGUAACCAAAAUCCAUGGUACUAGACAGAAUAAACAGCCAGAAAUAAAACCACACAUCUACAGCCAACUGGUUCUUGACAAAGGUGUCAAAAGCAUACACUGGAGAAAGGAGAGCCAUUUUCAAUAAAUGGUGCUGGGAAAAUUAGAUCUCCAUGUUGAAACAUGAACCCUACCUUUCACCACAUUAAAAAGAAAAUCACCUUAAAAUGGAACCAAGACCUAAAUAUAAGAUCUUAAAAAAUGAAGAAAACAUAGAGUAAAUAUUUCAAGACCUCAAUAUAGGUAAUGAUUUUUUUUUUGGAAGACCCCCACAAAAGCACAGAAAACAAAAACAAAUAAAGACAAAUGGAAUUAUUUCAAAGAAGCUCUGCAUUAGCAAAAGAAACAAUCAACAGAAUGCACAAUGUAUACAGUGGGAGAAAAUACUUGCAAACUAUUCAUCUAACACAGGACUAAUAUCCAGAAUGUAUAAGGAACUCAAAAACUGCAAUAACAACAAAGAAAGCCCACAUAAUUCAAGUUUAAAAUGGGCAAAUGAUAUGAAUAGAUGUUUUUCAAGAAAGUAGAAAUAACAAAUAUAGGGGGAGGGGGAAAUGAUCAAUAUUAGCAACCAGGGAAUGCAAAUCAAAACCAACAUGAGAUACCAUCUUACCCAGUCAAAAAUGGCCAUCAUCAAAAAGAUUUUUUAGGGCUGGGGAUUUAGCUCAGUGGUUCCGGCGCCUGUGUCACCAGCACAAGGUCCCG